GAUGAACGCUGGCGGCGUGCCUAAUACAUGCAAGUCGAGCGAACAGACGAGGAGCUUGCUCCUCUGACGUUAGCGGCGGACGGGUGAGUAACACGUGGAUAACCUACCUAUAAGACUGGGAUAACUUCGGGAAACCGGAGCUAAUACCGGAUAAUAUAUUGAACCGCAUGGUUCAAUAGUGAAAGACGGUUUUGCUGUCACUUAUAGAUGGAUCCGCGCCGCAUUAGCUAGUUGGUAAGGUAACGGCUUACCAAGGCAACGAUGCGUAGCCGACCUGAGAGGGUGAUCGGCCACACGGGAACUGAGACACGGUCCAGACUCCUACGGGAGGCAGCAGUAGGGAAUCUUCCGCAAUGGGCGAAAGCCUGACGGAGCAACGCCGCGUGAGUGAUGAAGGUCUUCGGAUCGUAAAACUCUGUUAUUAGGGAAGAACAAAUGUGUAAGUAACUAUGCACGUCUUGACGGUACCUAAUCAGAAAGCAACGGCUAACUACGUG
rnacentral:rRNA from 1 species